rnacentral:pre_miRNA from 2 species
AGGCGGAGACUUGGGCAGCUGCCGUCAUUCCCAGAAGGCAUUGCACUUGUCUCGGUCUGA